UCAGAAAAGGGAUUGCAGUAUUUAUUCAGGUCCUAAUUCAAUAAAUGAGCAUAUCAAGUAAGAGCUAUCAUUAGCCCCUGCAGACUUACAGAGGAGGGCUGACAGACCUGCAGGACACUGACCCUGGAGGAAGACAGUCACCUACUGCACCGCUGCCUCCCAGACAAACUGCACCAGGAGAAUUGUUUAUUUAAUCGCCAUCAGCAGACUUGGCUUGGACUGCACAUCGCUGUCAUUGGCCCAGAGUCGACAGACUCUGGACUGUCACUGCUGGUUAUGGAGCCCGACCUGAUGCGAUCGAUGAGAUUUGAGGAUUGGAUGGAUCGGUUUGCCCACACAAGAACAAGGAAGAAACUCCUCUAAAGUUCUAUGACAGAGUCAUACAAACACCGCCUCCCAUGCUAUCCAACCAUGGCUGCCCAGAAAUGCCCAUGGCAUCCGCCGGGAAGCCAGGUGGCAGGUGGGGCUGGACAGAACCAGGAAGCAUAGCCAUGGAGAUGACUGCGGGCACACCCACACAGGACUCCCAGGUGCAUAAAAGCCCAUCUUUUCCCACCCCACAUCAAUCUAUCACAACAAUUGAACAAACAGCAGCCAUUUCUACUGGGAGAGAAACAUUACUACUACACUCUACUGAAUUGAAUUCUUCAA